GCCGGAGAAACGGGAGGGCCACUCUUUCUAACUCCUUGAUUCCCCUGAUGGUGUGUUUCUACAGACUCAGUGGUGGAGAGCCUGAGCAGCCGCCAGGAUGAGGAGGCUGCAGCAACCCUCGAUGAUGUUGUGGAGGCCGGCGGGAGUGAGAAGACGGAGGAAGAGGCCCUGGCUGGGGCAAAUGAGGAGGAGGUGGGGCCGGGAACUGAGAAGGUGCAGGAGGAGGCUGCCUGCAUUGACGAGGCAGAGGAGGAGGCAGGCCCAUCCCUUGAAAAUGACGAGGAGUCCCCAGCCAGCGACCUGGUUGAGCAGGAAGACCAGCUUGCCCCCAAGGUAAGCUCACCUUUCUUGAUCGGAGAUUUAAAAAGGUGCCUCCUUUCUUCUUGGAUGUGCCUACUUCAGAAAAGGAAAUCUGAGCAAGUCCAUUAUAGAGGAUAUAUGCACAUUCCUCUGUGGAGGAAUGUUGAGUCAAAGUUUGGUACCAACCAAUAACUCCUUCCAAGGGGCAUUGGCAAAAGGGACCACAUCAGUUCCCAAGUGUACAUAGGGAGCAUUUGUCUUUGAAGAAGCCUGAAUGUUUUGUUUUGUUGUCUUUUUGCCUUUUCUAGGGCCACUCCUGUGGCAUAUGGAGGUUCCCAGGCUCAGGGUCAAACCAGAGCUGUAGCCACCGGCCUGCGCCAGAGCCACAGCAACGCGGGAUCCGAGCCACGUCUGCAACCUACACCUCAGCUCACGGCAAUGCCGGAUCCUUAACCCACUGAGCAAGGCCAGGGAUCGAACCCGCAACCUCAUGGUUCCUGGUCGGAUUCGUUAACCACUGCGCCACGACGGGAACUCCAAAGAAGCCUGAAUGUUUUUUAAAUGAACGUGGACUUGGGAGGUCUUCCAUGAAAAGCUGGUGCCUUUUCCACAGGUGUCUUUGCUGUCUUCUUUUGGGGAAACAGACUCAACUCUGCCUUCUGUCUGUGUGCCUGCGGUCCGCAACCACAGGAAGACCUGUGGCCACAGUGCAGAGGAUGCUGUGACACUCACAGUGUUUUCUUUUCUCUCAUCACAGGUGGACGGGAUGGACGAUGAAAGCCGUAAGUAUUCUGGAACCCGGCUCUGCUGAGGAGAAGUCCAGGUGUUGAGGAAGGGCGGGGGUGCUUUCCUGCCCCUUUGGUUUGCAGAGACACCCUGAUUCUGGUUCCUC
rnacentral:lncRNA from 1 species